UCUGGUUGAUUCUGCCAGUAGUCAUAUGCUUGUCUCAAAGAUUAAGCCAUGCACGUCUAAGUAUAAGCAUUUAUACGGUGAAACUGCGAAUGGCUCAUUAUAUCAUCAUAAUUUAUUUGAUAGUACCUUUUACCUGGAUAACUGUGGUAAUUCUAGAGCUAAUACAUGCUAAAAACCCAACUCACAAGGGGUGUAUUUAUUAGAUAAAAAACCAAUGCCUUCGGCUCUUUGGUGAAUCAUAAUAACUAAACGAAUCGCAUGACCUUGCGUCGGCGAUGUUCAUUCAAAUCUGUGCCCUAUCAACUCGAUUGUAAGAUAGAGGCUUACAAUGGUUUCAACGGUAACGGGGGAUUAGGGUCCGAUCCGGAGAGGGACCUGAGAGACGGCUACCACAUCCAAGGAAGGCAGCAGGCGCGCAAUUAACCCAAUUUCAAUACGAAGAGGUAUGACAAUAAUACUGAUGCAGAGCUCUUUUGGGUUUUGCAAUUGGAAUGAGUACAAUUUAAAUUCCUUAACGAGGAAACAAUUGGAGGGCAAGUCUGGUGCCAGCAGCCGCGGUAAUUCCACUCCAAUAGCGUAUAUUAAAUUGUUGCAGUUAAAAAGCUCGUAUUGAACCUUGGUCUGGCUGACCGGUCCGCCUCACGCGUGCACUGGUUCGGCCGGGCCUUUCCUCCUGGGGAUCGCAUGUCCUUCACUGGGAUGUGCUGGGGAACCAGGACUUUUACUUGAAAAAAUUAGAGUGUUCAAAGCAGGUCUAUGCUCGAAUACUUAGCAUGGAAUAAUAGAAUAGGACGUGCGUUCUAUUUGUUGGUUUCUAGGACCGCGUAAUGAUUAAUAGGGAUAGCCGGGGGUAUCAGAAUUCAAUUGUCAGAGGUGAAAUUCUUGAUUUAUUGAAGACUAACUACUGCGAAAGCAUUUACCAAGAAUGUUUUCAUUAAUCAGUGAACGAAAGUUAGGGAUCGAAGACGAUCAGAUACCGUCGUAGUCUUAACCAUAAACUAUCCGACUAGGGAUCGGUCGGUGUUAUCAUUUUGACCCGAUCGCACCUUACGAGAAAUCAAGUUUUGGUUCUGGGGAGUAUGUCGCAAGCUGAAACUUAAAGAAAUUGACGGAAAGGCACCGCCAGGCUCU
rnacentral:rRNA from 1 species